UCUAGUUGUUACUUUAGUCCCACACCGCGUACGCAUAACAUGUGUUCAGUGUUUAUAAUACCCUCGCACACAUCAUACAACGUCCCUUCGGGGACAUCCGAUAAAAUUGGAACGAUACAGAGAAGAUUAGCAUGGCCCCUGCUCAAGGAUGACACGCACAAAUCGAGAAAUGGCAUACAUUUGUUUAGAAGAAGUCCUUAUUGUACGAGAGGUUUUGUGCUUGAAGAUAAUAUUGAAUCUGAAUGUGUAGGUAUCCAAUGUUACUAACAACGACCUUAUGGGAAACAUUGAUGGACUAAUAUACUUGCAAGAAAUAUAGGUGCAGGACUGAGUGUGAAGAGAUGUUGCGCGAGGAUUACAUGAGCGCAGACGAUGUUUAUUAGCCAAGACCCUGAUACACGCCAGAGGUCCAGUCCAACUAAUAAAACUGAGUCAUGUUUAAUUCAUUCUAUUGUUCUAGGAAGAUGGUAGCUAGUUUUGUAGCAAAAAUAAACAUUUAUGUUCGUCGUUUACUGUGUCCCACCACAAUUUUCUCUUUGUUAAAUUUAUUCCCUUCAUUUUUGUUGUCUCACACUAUUUACUAGUACAUAACUAGCCAAGAAAAUGACCUUAGAUAAAUCAAAAACCACGUGUUGUGGCUGUCCUGAAUGAUGCUAUUUUUUGUUAUCCAAUAACAUGAUGUAUAUGAGAAUAUAUGUGUAUAA